CACACACACACACACACACACACACACACACCCCCCUACCUCCAGGACUGAACGUGAGAGAAAGAGAAGAAUGAAGGUGAGAAAAGGAAAGAAAAAAAGAAUGAUAGACGUGAUGUCAUGUUCAGUCCUGCAGGGGAUUGUGGGUAAAUAAUGAUGUCAUCAAAACAUUCCAAGCCAAGUGUGUAUGUGCCCUUCAGAAUGUGUGUGUGUGUGUGUGUGUGAGUGAAAGUGUGUGUGUGACAAUCAUGGCUAGAGAGUCUCAGGCCUGAUGAAACAGUCGAUUGUCUUAUUUACACUUUUGCUGUCACACACACACACACACACACACACACAUUAUCCAGUCUGACUGACAAACAUUUAGAUGGAGACAGACAGACAGCUUACAUGACUGAUGGAGAGGACGAGGAAAGCUCCGCCCCCUGCACACUCCGUGAUGACGGCGAGGAAUCGCGGGUUGACGGCGCAGAGCUGGUUGUCAUGGACACUGCAGAAACACCUGUAUGGUGGGUCUGCAUUGACGUCACUAAUUGUCUUCAUUCAGAAACUGAAAUAGAACUGGGUGGAUCCUACUGCAAAGUGUGUGUGUGUGUGUGUGUGUAAUAUUUCUCCAAUAUAUGAUGUAUCUUCAGGGCAGCAGCUUAAGUUCCUAAAAUCACACUGGGAAAUCUCAGUAUUCAGUCGUGUGUGCAUGUGUGUGUGUGUUUUACAAGCACUAAAGGUGAAACAUAAAACUGGAGACAUCUAGCAGAAUCUGAAAGUAUUUCCCCUGCAGGCAACACACACACACACACACACAAUGUAACUGCAGUGCAGGCAGAACGUAACACACACGGAUCAAUAUAUGAGGAAAUGCAUGCGUGUGCACACACACGCACGCACACACACACACACACACACACACACACACACACACACACACACACAGACACACACAGACACACACAGAGACACACAGACACACACAGAGACACACAGACACACACACACACACACACACACAGACACACAGACACACACACAGACACACACACAGACACACACACAGACACACACACAGACACACACACAGACACACACACAGACACACACACAGACACAGACACACACAGACACACACAGGAGUUCGUCUGUCGAUUUGGAUGAAGACCGAAGUUUCCACUUCUCCCUCCAUUAUGGAGAACACAAACUGGGACUGGACUUGCGCGUGAAUUGGAUUAAAGUGAGGAAGACUUGCGCAGCAUCAGCCGCACUCUCACUUCCUGCUGACCGACAUGAUCCAGUGACAAGACUGAGUCAAGACGACUGAAGAUGGCUGAAGAUGGCCCCCGGACGCAGUGACUCAUACACCCAUUCAUACACCCAUUCAUACACACAUUCACACACCCAUUCAUAAACACACUCACACACCCAUUCAUACACUACGGACACUUUGGACACGCCAAUCAGCCUACCAUGCAUGUCUUUGGACUGGGGGAGGAAACCGGAGUACCCGGAGGAAACCCCCGCAGCACGGGGAGAACAUGCAAACUCCACACACACAGGGCCCCGGUGGGAAUCGAACCCCCGACCCUGGAGGUGUGAGGUGAACGUGCUCACACACACACACACACACACACACAGGUCAGAGUACAGUCUGAUAAGAACUAAAAGCAGAGAUUUUUUAAUGCUCUUUUCUUUCACAAUUGAUGGUUCUCAAACACACACACACAUUUGUCUGCUUCUCGUCUGAUGUUGUCAGCAGAACAGGGAACAGAGCUGUAUGUUUAUAUCCAGUUUUCAGAUUAUUAUAAUUAACCCUGCCUACAAAACACAGCAGUAACCAAUCAGAGAGUAAGUCCUGCCUCCACCAACACUGGAGCCAAUCACAGAAGAUUAAAGAUUAAGAUUUUACAGUGA